AAGGUGGAAAAGCUACCAACAUCUCUCAGGCUGCGUAACCGCAGGGCAGUUAAUACACCUAUUAACCACUAUAUUGGGACCCAGAUAUCACGAGCCCUGCUACCUUCUUUAGGGGCAGCCAUGAAUUAUAGAGAUCUCCAUCUGCUGGCCAAUUGGACAGAAGGAUUAUUCAAUGAUACCAUAAAAGCAUUGAAGGAGCUCAAUCGAGAGGUGACUGCUAUGAGGGAGGUUGUCCUACAGAAUCGCUAUGCUUUGGAUGUGAUGUUGGCCUCAAAGGGUGGGGUUUGUGCCCUGGUUCAUUCUCAUUGUUGUAUGUUCAUCCCAGAUAAUAAUGUCAGUAUUUCAGCCACCAUCAACCACAUGGAAACAAUGAUAGCUGAAAACCCGCUGAAAGCCACAGGGAGUGAUGCAUGGGGUUGGUUGUAUUCCUGGCUCCCUGAUGGCAGUUGGCUCAGGAAUGUUAUAGUAUUAUUAGCAGGACCGCUAUUAAUCCUUUUGCUUCUUUGCCUCUGUAUCCCCUGCUUAUUGCAAUGCUUGCAGCAAAUGAUGCAAAGACUCCUGUCACGGAAGCUAGGGCCCACGGUCAUCGCUGUGAUGAGGGAGUAUAGGCCCAUACCCCAGAACGAACCUAAGUAUUAGGUUGUUCAGAAGAAGAGGAGGGAGUGAAGGGAGAGGGGAACGAUUAAUCAUUAAUAUUAUCUACACAUAGUAAAUUCCUAGCUUAUACACAUAGUAAAUUCCUGCACUAAGCUAUUGUGGUUAAACAGCUCAAGACUGCAGUCGCUUGCAGAAUCUAAAUCAGACAGGUCAAGAGGCCGUUUCCUGCCUAACCAGCUAUCUGAAACUGCUGAUGUUAGCCACAGGUCAGAAGGUCGUUUCCUGCCUAGCCAGAAACUGCUGUUAACUAAAAACCACUAGCAAGAUGUUUCCUGCUUUGCUUCUGCUUUAAGUAAUGCAAGAUAAGAGAUACGAAGGGAAUGCUUAGCUAGCAAAAGAAGACACGUGUACAAGGAGGUGGGAGGGGGUGCUUACUGAGCAGAGAAAAUGCUUAACCAGCAGAGGAAGUGCUUAGCUAGCAGCCUUAGCCAGCAAAUAUUGAUAUGCCCUAAAAGGGAAUGAGUUGAAAACUUGCCAGCUGAUUGGGGAAGUUUUGGGGGGAGGUAUGGGAGGAGGGUGAAUGCUUUCAGGUAUAAAAAUGCUUGCUGAACAUGGUAACAACACAGUCAGAUUUCAGAAACUAUAUUCUGCUGGCUGUCUCUGUGCACAGAUUUGCAAUAAAACUCUUUUCUCCAAAGAA